rnacentral:snoRNA from 1 species
CCGGUGUGAUGUUACGAAAAUAUUUGCUACUUCAGAGGGCCACAACCCAAUGAGACUACUUUAAUCACCAAGAUCUCUGACCGC